AUCUAGCAUCCCUGUGGACAAUUGUAUGCCCUGCCUAGUCCCAUCCGUAACACAUACGCAGCAUGUGGCGUCACCACCAUCCACCAAGUUGCCCAAGCGAAAAACACAGGGGAGGAGUCGUGAGCUUUUACUUUAAAAAUACCAAGCACUGUCUCAAUACAAUAGAAUUG